rnacentral:rRNA from 1 species
AUACAGAGGGUGCGAGCGUUAAUCGGAAUUACUGGGCGUAAAGCGCGCGUAGGCGGUUAUUUAAGUCAGAUGUGAAAUCCCUGGGCUCAACCUAGGAACUGCAUCUGAAACUGGGUAACUAGAGUUUAGGAGAGGGGAGUAGAAUUUCGGGUGUAGCGGUGAAAUGCAUAGAGAUCCGAAGGAAUACCAGUGGCGAAGGCGACUCCCUGGCCUAGAACUGACGCUGAGGUGCGAAAGCGUGGGUAGCAAACUGGAUUAGAUACCCUAGUAGUCC